rnacentral:rRNA from 1 species
CACGUAGGGCGCAAGCGUUGUCCGGAAUUAUUGGGCGUAAAGAGCUCGUAGGCGGUCUGUUGCGUCCGCUGUGAAAACUCGGGGCUUAACCCCGAGCCUGCAGUGGAUACGGGCAGACUAGAGGUAGGUAGGGGAGAAUGGAAUUCCCGGUGUAGCGGUGAAAUGCGCAGAUAUCGGGAGGAACACCGGAGGCGAAGGCGGCUCACUGGGUCUUUUCUGACGCUGAGGGACGAAAGCUAGGGGAGCGAACGGG